rnacentral:rRNA from 1 species
UACGUAGGGUGCAAGCGUUAAUCGGAAUUACUGGGCGUAAAGCGUGCGCAGGCGGCUUUGCAAGACAGAUGUGAAAUCCCCGGGCUUAACCUGGGAACUGCAUUUGUGACUGCAUGGCUGGAGUGCGGCAGAGGGGGAUAGAAUUCCACGUGUAGCAGUGAAAUGCGUAGAGAUGUGGAGGAAUACCGAUGGCGAAGGCAGCCCCCUGGGAUAACACUGACGCUCAUGCACGAAAGCGUGGGGAGCAAACAGG